ensembl:lncRNA
CAAUGACAGACAGCUGAACCCGUCAAUCGGGGACGAUAAACACGGGGCCUGGCUGGUGACGUCACAGGGGCAGGACUUGUUCAUUAGUUUGGUGGCAAAAUGUUACGUGUCUUCAUACUCGCAACAGCAAUCUGCCAAUUUUUAUAAUAGCGUUUACACACUAUUAAUGUAGAAAUAAUCAAUAUGCUCCAAACCCAGUUAACAUGUCCUGUUUUUUUAACCUGUCCGGUUUUCAGUAAAAACUAUCUAAAGUCGAUGUGAUUCCACCAGUGCUCACGCAGUAGUUUAGAUGCGUUAACCCCGUCACAGCCAGAGACGAAACCACAUUUGUUUGUAACGAAAGAAACCGCUGAGACUAAAACCACAAAACAUUAGAAACUUCAAUAUCUGCCACCAAGCAGGCGAGGGCGCUGUUGUGUUUCAGUUUGAAGGCAGUCAGAGGAUUUUGCAACCGACUAAACUGUCCACGAUAUGAAAAGAAUCCUGCAGCGCUUGAAGGCUGCACCUCUCAUGUAAAUGUUUUUGUGUUGUUAGUUCCAAGUCCCAUAAACUAUAUAUUCAACUUCAGAUGGUGGGAAUUCAUCUGUCUACAUGCAUCCAGAUUUAAUGCGUUGUAUCGGAAAGGAAACAAGAAGUUCAGGUGACAUGUCCUCUCGUCUGGUGACUCAACAAUGGGGCCCUUUCAGGCCCGAUCCCGGACUCCACUCUGAGCCAUGAGCCCAGAACCCUCAGGGACUCAACUGACGUCACCUGGUAAAUGGUUGCGGAGUGGGAGUGGGCUGCCAGAUGUCACGUCGCCAUGACAACAAAUAAAAUGAGGCAAGGGGAUUUUUUGUUUACUAAAUUUGUUUAAGUUGACAAAGCGGGAAGGUAUUGAACUUUGACCUUCAUUCUGUGGCGGUAACUUUGUAGAAACCUUUGUACACACACAUGGAAUCUUCCCGCUGAGCGGUGAAGGGCACCGACAGGAUGGAUGUGGGAGGAAACCGUUCCUUCGCGUUCUUUGAAUACAAGUCAAAGUCCAGACGCUGGCAGCAAAACAUGUUUUCUUUACUGCAGACCAGAAGAAGAGUCCAGGCGAGGCCCAACAGGAAGAAGUAACACAUUUUGAUUUGGUUUCAAAGCUUCUGAGAAGGGAAAUGAGCUUCUUCUUGUGUCAGAAAAACAAGUUAAGAUUUGUAUAUUCUUUGUAUUAUUAACCCCCAACGGUCACUCCAGCGUUGCUGUGUGAAGAGAAGAGAACCUUCCAGAAGGUGCAGGCCUGUAUGGUAGAGUGGAGGACUUUCACACCACGAGAAACAACAUUCUCUGGUCUGAUGAAACAAACAUUGAAGUCUUUGUCCUGAAUGCCAAGCGUCAUGACACUCAUCACUCAUUGUUCAUUCUGAACACACCAUCCAUUGUAGUCUGUCCAUCCCGGGAGAGGGAUCCUCCUCUGACGUUCUCCCUAAGAUUUCUUCCCCAUGUUUGUCAUUUUUUUCCUGUUCCGAUUAGAGGGUUUUCAGAACAGAGGAUGUCACAUGUGUCCAGACUUUAAAGCCCUCUGAGGCUAAUUUGUCAUUUGCGAUUUGGGGCUAUACAAAAUAAAAUGAAUUGAAUUGAAUACCGUCCCUGCAGGGAAGCAUCCAACAUCUGCCUGCAUGUAUCGUAUUCAUGUUAUUGUGGAUUCAUGAACAAUGUCUGUUUGCACUUUAAGCUUUUCUGCUGUAACCUUGUGAAUCUCCCCACUGCUAAUAAAAGAUUAUC